rnacentral:lncRNA from 1 species
CAGCAGUGAGGACUCUGAAGGAUCCACUGACGUUGAUGAGCCCUUAGAAGUCUUCAUCUCAGCACCGAGAAGUGAGCCUGAGCCCAUGGAUUUCAGAAAAUUAUCUACAUUCAGAGAAAGUUUUAAGAAAAGAGUGAUAGGACAAGACCACGACUUUUCAGAAUCCAGUGAGGAGGAGGCGCCCGCAGAAGCCUCAAGCGGGGCACUGAGAAGCAAGCAUGGUGAGAAGGCUCCUAUGACUUCUAGAAGUACAUCUACUUGGAGAAUACCCAGCAGGAAGAGACGUUUCAGCAGUAGUGACUUUUCAGACCUGAGUAAUGGAGAAGAGCUUCAGGAAGCCUGCAGCUCAUCCCUAAGAAGAGGGUCAGGUAAAGAAGAUUAGGAUGCCAAGACUUGGCCUGCAGAAUGUCAGGAAUGUGAAUUAAAAGCUGCUGUUUCCAGACGCUUUUUAUUCUGAGCACCUUCACUACCUGGUAUCCAGUUCAUCUGGGAACUCCUUUUUGCAUUUUAGAAAAUGGAAAGAGGCAGGAAAUUAUGAUAAACUCAUGUUUAACAGGAAGAGUUUCACUGACUAAAUGUAUGUAAUUAUAUUUUGUUGUUGUAGAAGAAAUAAAUAGCAAAUUU